rnacentral:rRNA from 1 species
GACGAACGCUGGCGGCGUGCCUAACACAUGCAAGUCGAACGGAACGGUCCUGCCUUUUUGGGGUGCUCGACUUGCCAACGGGUGAGUAACACGUGAGUAACCUGCCAUUGACUUUGGGAUAUCCUCAGGACACUUGGGGUAAUACCGCCUAGGAUCUCCCGCCUUAUGGUGGGCGUUGGAUAGUUUCGGCGGUUGGGGACGGACUCGCGGCUUAUCAGCUUGUUGGUGGGGUAGUGGCCUACCAAGGCUUUGACGGGUAGCCGGCCUGAGCGGGUCACCGGCCACAUUGGGACUGGGAUGCGGCCCAGACUCCUACGGGAGGCAGCAGUGGGGAAUAUUGCACAAUGGGCGGAAGCCUGAUGCAGCAACGCCGCGUGCGGGAUGACGGCCUUCGGGUUGUAAACCGCUUUCGCCUGUGACGAAGCGUGAGUGACGGUAAUGGGUAAAGAAGCACCGGCUAACUACGUG